AGCGAGGGGACUCGGGCUCCGGGCUCAGCUCGGGCAGCAGCCGCGACAAGUCGUCCACCAGGUGCCACUUCUCCUGGACCUGCUGCAGGGAAAAAUUAAGGAACCAGCUGUUAGCUUGAAGCAAACCGUAGCCAGAAGCCACGCCCACAACGCAGUCUGAGGAGGUUGUCAAUGCAGCCGGAGGCCAUCUCGAAGCCCGGCCCCUAAUUUAGAACCAGGCAGCACCACGGCCCCGCCUCCUACAGUCCCAACCCCGCCCCAGACCACGCCCACAAGCUAAGGCUCUGCUUCAACCCAAGGCCACGCCUCCACCGAAGUAGGCAGCCAGUCAAGGUACACACUCCUCAAGGGUUUGGCAGAAGCAUAGUCACUCACCCACACCAGCUGCUUCCGCAGCCCUUGGAUGGCUCUGGCGUUCGCCCGGGACUGGGAAACGCACACGGUCAGGACGAGGCUUAAAGAAGAUAGAAGUGCAGCCCCUCCCUCGCUCUAAGAGCUCCAGCGUGGUGAGGCUGCUUCGCCAGGGGCCAUACAGUCCUCCUGGCGUCCUAGGAGCCCAGAAGGCCUACAAUAUGCCCUCAGGUCACCUGUGUUGGCGCCAGUUUCCCUAGUUCUUGCAUCCCAAGACACUAUCUGGAUAUGCCCAGCUGUACACCACCCCUGGGGAAGGAAAGCAAACUGGGUUUUCCCCUCGGUCCCUGCUGUCUGGAGUCACCUGAGCAGAAUGAGGAGAGGGAAGCUGAAGGCGUGGGAGCUGAGGUACCGGAGGGCACGCUGGCCAGGAAGUGGGAGCUGGAGGGUCACCAGCUCUGGCACCACCUGCCAGGGGGCUGAAUAGUUGGUGAAGAGGCCACAGUCCCAGGAGGAGUGGGUGCUGGGGAGAUGGGAACGGACAGGUGUGUGAGGGUCUGGGGUAGGAGCUGCUGGACCGGCCUCCCAGCCGCCAGCCCCCAUCACCUGCUGAUCACGUAGGCCAGAGGGACCGCAGCCAAGAGCAAGCCCAGGAGCAACACCAGUUGGAAGAAGAAGGUGGAGCUGGAGGCUCGGAACAGCCUUGGGGACGCCCUGGAGUUCCUCAGGAGGGUGUACUGAGGUGGGCGAGAUAACAGGACUUACCAGGGUGUUUUGUGGACCAUGGAGUCUGAGGUCCUGGGAAGGGAAGGUAGAAUCAGGAUGCAGCAGCCCUCGGGUGCCUGUCCCAAGCUCCCACCUUCUUGAUGUAGAAGGUGAGAAAGAGAAAGACACUGUUGAGGAGCGGCAGCAGGGGGCAGUAGAAGAGGCCCAUCCAGGUGACAGUCUGCGCAGCCACGAUGUCCAGCACAUUCUUGGGCACCAGGAACUCCUCCCGGUCCAGCCAAGUCCAGAACCAGCCUGAGAAGCGCUCCACUAACAGCCUGGGGUGGGAAGUGCAGGAUGGGGUAGGAUCUGGGUCCACUCCCGGGGCGGGCAGGGUAUGAGAGCCACGCGGGUCUUCCCUAUGGGCCAUUGCACCCUUACUCAUGGGGACAGACCUGGCUCACGCUUGGCAGUGGCCUCCAGCUAUCCCCUGCGGUGCCCCACCCCCAUGUAGCUCACCUCCGAGGCAGGGUGACCAGAAAGGCGAAGGCCACGGUAAGCAGGAAGUUGAAGAUGAUUAAUUUAUAUAACUCUUCACCCACUGAAUUCUCCCAGCACUGGGGUGCAGAGGAAAGAGACCCAUCACUAUUCCCACAUUCCUCCCAACUCUCUUCCCUCAACCACCGCUUGUCAGGGUUGGGGGUGGGUUGGUGGCGGGGGGUGACUCCCAAAGCCAGGAGAGCUAUGCACCUCUGGGGUGUGGUGCAGGGCGCCCCCUGGGCGCAAGCCAUGGUAUGGCAGCUCCGCCUCCAGCUACUCACAAAAGCAAGGAUAAGGACUGAAAGGGACCGGAUUCCUGAGUUUGAGGUGGGCUUUGUGGGGAAGGAUGGGUGGGCACCUGGUAUUCGCAGGCAUUGUAGCCGUAGGUCUCGCAGCUGGUCUUGUUUCUGCCUAUGCACAGCACAGUCUGACCCAGAGAGAAGGAGAACAUCCCCAGGCUGGCCAGCUUCAGCACCACGCACCUGAGGGCAGCCGGGAAUGCAUCAGAGGUGGGUCGGAGCUCUAACCAGGUCAUAGAGUGCCUGGUGUCUGAGACCUGGCGGCCUCAACCUGGCCUCCUUCCAGCCUGCUUCAUCUCCCGCCGGCGUUUUUCAAAAUGAGUUCUUCAAGCCUGACUCUACGUGGUUCACGGGGAAUGGAUCCUGCCUCUAAGUCAGUGUGGGAAAUACUGUCCCAGUCAGUUCUUCCUGCUGCCAGAUGUAUGGUUUAUUUGGACGAGUCCUGCAAGAGAAAGUCUACGCCCUCCUGGGUCCUCAGAGCCUCGGUUCGGAAGACACCUUCCUCUUCUUUUUUAUUUAGUAUGUAGCCCUGGCUGACCCGGGGAACUCACUAUGUAGUCCAGGGUAGCCUCAAAGUUGCAGAGGGCUAGUAUUAAAGGCAUGCACCACCAUACCUGCCCUCCACCCUCUGUGUUGAGUACACUCACCCACAUGUAUGUGGAGCCCAGAGCUUGACUUUAGAUGUCUCCCUCUCUCUUACUCUCUUACAUUUUAAACAUUUUAUUUUUGUCUGUUUAUUUAUUUGAGACAGGGCCUCCCUACGUAGCCUGGGUUGGCCUGGGACUUGUUCUGUGAAUUCAGUUGGCUUCAAACUCAUAGAGACCUGCCUGUCUCUGA